rnacentral:rRNA from 1 species
UACGUAGGGUGCAAGCGUUGUCCGGAAUUAUUGGGCGUAAAGAGCUCGUAGGCGGCUUGUCACGUCGACUGUGAAAACCCGAGGCUCAACCUCGGGCCUGCAGUCGAUACGGGCAGGCUAGAGUUCGGCAGGGGAGACUGGAAUUCCUGGUGUAGCGGUGAAAUGCGCAGAUAUCAGGAGGAACACCGGUGGCGAAGGCGGGUCUCUGGGCAGUAACUGACGCUGAGAAGCGAAAGCGUGGGUAGCGAACAGG